UAAUGUGAGAGCGCUCUGGCUGCGACAUCUGUAGCCCCAUUGAUUGGCAGAGUUGAUUAGGCUGACCUGGCUGGCUAGGCUGGUGUCCCCUUUCUCCCUCACCACUCCAUGUGCUGCCUUCCCUAUGCUACACACUGCAUGGAACAGGAUGACCAACCCAUCUAACUGCACUCCCCUGCU
rnacentral:snRNA from 1 species